rnacentral:rRNA from 1 species
GGUGAACGCUGGCGGCGUGCCUAAUACAUGCAAGUCGAGCGAACAGACGAGGAGCUUGCUCCUCUGACGUUAGCGGCGGACGGGUGAGUAACACGUGGAUAACCUACCUAUAAGACUGGGAUAACUUCGGGAAACCGGAGCUAAUACCGGAUAAUAUAUUGAACCGCAUGGUUCAAUAGUGAAAGACGGUUUUGCUGUCACUUAUAGAUGGAUCCGCGCCGCAUUAGCUAGUUGGUAAGGUAACGGCUUACCAAGGCAACGAUGCGUAGCCGACCUGAGAGGGUGAUCGGCCACACUGGAACUGAGACACGGUCCAGACUCCUACGGGAGGCAGCAGUAGGGAAUCUUCCGCAAUGGGCGAAAGCCUGACGGAGCAACGCCGCGUGAAUGAUGAAGGUCUUCGGAUCGUAAAACUCUGUUAUUAGGGAAGAACAAAUGUGUAAGUAACUAUGCACGUCUUGACGGUACCUAAUCAGAAAGCCACGGCUAACUACGUG